rnacentral:rRNA from 1 species
AGGCAUGCAAGUCGAACGGUAAGGCCCUUCGGGGUACACGAGUGGCGAAAGGGUGAGUAACACGUGAGCAAUCUGCCUCAAAGUCGGGGAUAGCCGGUGGAAACGCCGAUUAAUACCGGAUGUGGUCCGAGAUUCGCAUGGAUCUUUGACUAAAGGAGUAAUUCGCUUUGAGAUGAGCUCGCGGUCCAUCAGCUAGUUGGUAGGGUAACGGCCUACCAAGGCUACGACGGAUAGGUGGCCUGAGAGGGUGGUCACCCACACUGGGACUGAGACACUGCCCAGACUCCUACGGGAGGCUGCAGUCGAGAAUCUUCCGCAAUGAGCGAAAGCUUGACGGAGCGACGCCGCGUGCAGGAUGACGGCCUUCGGGUUGUAAACUGCUGUCACCCGGGACGAAUUUUGUCGGUACCGGGAGAGGAAGCCACGGCUAACUACGUGCCAGCAGCCGCGGUAAUACGUAGGUGGCGAGCGUUAUUCGGAUUUAUUGGGCGUAAAGGGUUCGUAGGUGGUCGUAUAAGUCUGAUGUGAAAUCCAGCGGCUUAACCGCUGAACUGCAUUGGAUACUGUAUGACUUGAGUACCAGAGAGGUAAGUGGAAUUCCUGGUGUAGCGGUGGAAUGCGUAGAUAUCAGGAGGAACACCGAUGGCGAAGGCAGCUUACUGGCUGGUAACUGACACUGAGGAACGAAAGUUAGGGUAGCAAACAGGAUUAGAUACCCUGGUAGUCCUAACUGUAAACGGUGUGCACUAGAUAUAGGCGGAUUGGUCCCGUCUGUGUCCAAGCUAACGUGAUAAGUGCACCGCCUGGGGAGUACGGCCGCAAGGCUAAAACUCAAAGGAAUUGACGGGGGCCCGCACAAGCGGUGGAGCAUGUGGCUUAAUUCGAUUCUACGCGAAGAACCUUACCUGGGUUUGACAUAUACCUGACUGGUCUGGAAACAGGUCUUCCCUUCGGGGCAGGUAUACAGGUGCUGCAUGGCUGUCGUCAGCUCGUGCCGUGAGGUGUUCGGUUAAGUCCGGCAACGAGCGCAACCCGUGCCGUCAGUUACCAGCAGGUAAUGCUGGGUACUCUGACGGGACUGCCCGUGCUAAGCGGGAGGAAGGCGCGGACGACGUCAAGUCCGUAUGGCCCUUACAUCCAGGGCUGCACACGUGCUACAAUGGUCGGUACAGUGGGACGCCACCACGCGAGUGGGAGCCAAUCCUUAAAGCCGACCCCAGUUCGGAUUGUAGUCUGCAACUCGACUACAUGAAGUCGGAAUCGCUAGUAAAGGCGCAUCAGCUACGGCGCCUUGAAUACGUUCCCGGGCCUUGUACACACCGCCCGUCACAUCAUGGAAGCCCGUUGCACCCGAAGUCACUGACCCAACCCGCAAGGGAGGGAGGUGCCGAAGGUGUGGCUGGUGACUGGGAUGAAGUCGAAACAAGGUA